UGGGCUCGGGUUUGGCCGAGUUUUUAGCAGUGUUCAACGUGGAGUGUAAUUCUAUUGUUCGUAAGAUUAAUAUAAGGGAAACGACUGUUUCCGCCCGACCGAUCACGUGCGUAGUUCCGCCGUCUCCCGCGCUCGACACGUGGUUUCUUAUCCGAAAAAAAUUCAGCGUUCCGUGUGGGUCCCACCCACGUCUUUUCCCUUAUCGUCUCCUCUCCUUCGCUUCUUUCUCCAGAAAAAUCUCCCCCGAUCAUCUAAAUUCCUCCCAUCGCUGUUGUCCCGAUAAUCUAGAUUCCUCCCGUCGCUACUGUCGCAUGGAAGUUACAAACACCAUGGCUCCGUCGGCGGUGCUAGGAGAGUUGGCCGGCGAUGCUACGACCGGCAGCCAGCGGUGCUAGGAGAGGCGAGGCAGGGUGGCGAUGCUGCAAGAGACGACUGGCUGUGUUGUGAGGAGAGGCCGGCGGUGCUGCGAGGGGCGGUCGGCGGUGCAGCAAGGCGGAGAGGUCGCGGUGGCGACCGACGACUGCCGGGGCUGCUGCAAGCGGAGGCCGGCGAUGCUCCGACCAGCAACCGGCGGUGCUACAAGGUGGGGGGGGGGGGGGGGGGGGCGUUGCGGCGAAUCGCGGCCGUCGGGGCUCCUGCAAGCAGCGACCGACGGUGCUGCAAGCGACGACCGGCCGUGCUGCAAGUGGAGUCCGGCAACCAGCAGUGCUACAAGGCGGGGAGGGGGAGCGAUGGCGAUUGCCGACAGGUGCUGCUUUGAACGGUAGCAUGCAGAUCUGCGAUCGACGGCGGUGGUGCUUUGAACGACGGCAGGCGGGACUGAGGACGACGGCCGGCGCUGCUGCGACGGACGGCGGCAGAACCAGAGGCGCCGGGGCGAAUGUCGGCUGGCACCGCUACGACCGACCGCUGCGGUACUUCAAACGGAGGCUAACGAUGCUGCGACCCGCGACCAACAGUGCUUCGAAUGUGGGCCGGUGGUGCUGCGACCAGCGGCCAAUUCUGCUUCGAACGGAGUUUAGAUGAGAGCGAACUUGUGGGAUGAGGCUUGAUGAACGGUUGGGGAGGGCGCCGAUCCUUGCGCUCGUUCCGCCCGGCCGACGUCUAGCGUCGCCCUUAAUAUAAACGCCUUUCUCCUGCCCCCCACCAAAAAAAAAGGUUCAUGUAUGAAAAAUGGACGUAUUACUUGCAUCUUAUGUUAGUGUAUAUAACACAAAAUCAUUGGUACAUUUUGGUCCACACAUCAUACACAUGAAUUUUAACAUUCUUUACUCCAUGCGGGCUGGACAUCCUGUUGCCACAGAAGUAGGGCACGACACAUUUGCUUAAGCUUACUUGUGAGAAUCAGUCAAAAACCAUAAGUCCCUUAAAUAGUGCUAUAUAUAGCAAUUUGAAAAGCAUGAGUAGUGGGUUUGCAUUGACGAAAUGUAGCGUGUGGUAGAAGGCAAAUAUUCCAUUUUCUUUACUCAUAGUCAUUCGUUUACAACCAUCCAUCACCUCUUUUCCUACUGUAAGGGAAAACAGAGAUAACUCCUUUCCUCCUUCUAAUUCAAACAAUAAUCUACUCAGAUGGUACCACUAAUAUAUACAAUUGUUCUAUCCACAGCAACACACAGCUACAGAGCUAGCAUACAAGAUAGAAGAUACUGAAAUAUGUCAAGACCAUCUUUGGAGUUCAGAAAUCUCCUAUAGAUUGCUUCAAGAAU
rnacentral:lncRNA from 1 species